GACGAACGCUGGCGGCGUGCUUAACACAUGCAAGUCGAGCGGUAAGGCCCCUUCGGGGGUACACGAGCGGCGAACGGGUGAGUAACACGUGAGCAACCUACCCUCAACUUUGGGAUAAGCCUCGGAAACGGGGUCUAAUACCGGAUAAUACUUCGCUCCUCAUGGGGUGGGGUUGAAAGUUCUGGCGGUUGGGGAUGGGCUCGCGGCCUAUCAGCUUGUUGGUGGGGUAAUGGCCUACCAAGGCGUCGACGGGUAGCCGGCCUGAGAGGGCGACCGGCCACACUGGGACUGAGACACGGCCCAGACUCCUACGGGAGGCAGCAGUGGGGAAUAUUGCGCAAUGGACGAAAGUCUGACGCAGCAACGCCGCGUGAGGGAUGACGGCCUUCGGGUUGUAAACCUCUUUCAGCGCAGACGAAGCGAAAGUGACGGUACCCGCAGAAGAAGGACCGGCCAACUACGUGCCAGCCGCCGCCGUAACAC
rnacentral:rRNA from 1 species